rnacentral:rRNA from 1 species
UACGUAGGGUGCAAGCGUUAAUCGGAAUUACUGGGCGUAAAGCGUACGCAGGCGGCUUUGCAAGACAGGUGUGAAAUCCCCGGGCUCAACCUGGGAACUGCAUCUGUGACUGCAUAGCUAGAGUACGGUAGAGGGGGAUGGAAUUCCGCGUGUAGCAGUGAAAUGCGUAGAUAUGCGGAGGAACACCGAUGGCGAAGGCAAUCCCCUGGACCUGUACUGACGCUCAUGCACGAAAGCGUGGGGAGCAAACAGG